CCACUUUUACCUAAAUCAAAACUAGAUAGCUCCCCCCCUCCUCCUCCUUCUCGUCCAUCUUCCUUUUCCAAUCCAUGUCUCUCUCUUCUUCAUUGGCUCGCCGGCCUCACUUCCAUGGUUUCUCCUCCUUCCUCUACUCAAACCCUCGGCGACAGAUCUGAUUUCAAGCCAACCGAAGUACUAUAUUUCACGUCUUUUUCAUCUUUACAUAAUCGAUCUGAUUUGCUUUACUUGCUUUCAAUUUCAUAAGGUAACUUUCUACGAUUGGUGGUUGGUCAAAUCCAAAGAGAAUGACCAAAAAGGGAGACUUGCCGUCGCCGGUGUUUCUUCUGCCCCAUGAGUCAAAUUCCCCUAAUUUCUUUUCUACGGUUUCAUUUGCCCGUACUGCUUGUGAUUGUUAAUUUUAGGGCUUGAUUGCAAAUUUGUCAGUACUUCUCUACAUCUUCAAUUAAAAUUUGAACUUGGAUUGAACUGACCUUCUCGAUUUAACCCUUGUUGUUUUACAGCAGCUUCCAGUUGAACUUGAAUAGAUGUGUAGUAUGGAAUUGUUUAUGGGUUUGUUUUAAUUUGAAUGCAAUUUUGUUUUGGUUAGGCAGCUUCCAGUUUGAUGCCUUGUUUUAAUUUGAUGUGGGUUUGGAGUUUGUAGAGGUGUAUCAAUUGGGAAAGUUGGGAAAAGUUAUAAAAUUUGGUUUGGCAGGUCAGGUAAUCAAUUACGUUUGGUUUGAUGGGAAGUUUGUUUGCAUGUAAGCAUUGUUAUCAUUGAUGGUUUGUUAUGAAUGAGACUGAUUGUUACUUUAAAUUGUUGUCAUUUGUUAAACUGUUCUCUUAUACAGAAAGUUAGAAACUAGUUUAUUGUAUUGCUUUGAAUUGUCUAUAUGUUUAAUUGUUUUUAACCUAUAGACUAAUUGCUUUGAAUUAUCUUUAUGUUGUAGAUUGAUUGUUGUUUAAUUGUAUCCUAAGUGGGAAAUACCAUAAGUUAUGGGAUUACAAUAUGGUCUUCUGAUAUCUCUAUGAAAGUUUUAUCAAACAAAAAUUACUGUGUUCUGUAUGUUUUAUGGGUGCACAUAUAGAGAGUCAAGAUUUUGGUUAGUACUCCAAGCAGCUUAGUUUCUACUUUUCUGGGCAGUUGUGUGUUUCUGACAUUUGGUAGUUUUACUUGCUACUUAAUGUGAUUUGUUCAAUUUGUUCAUGACAGGUUCUUGUAGUUAGACGAGACUUGAAGAUGACAACUACAAAAAUUGCAUCUCAGUAUGCUGCAACUAGCAUGUAUGCAGAACUGAUGCAAAGGGUUCUUAUGGAUGCGUAUCAUUUGGGUAACCUCCAACCUUCAAUGUAGGAAAGAUAUAAUUCCAUGGUUUCCAUGGAUGGUAAUGCAGAACUUCAAAUAUUAUCAUUCAAAGCCACUAAGAUUAGGCUUUUACGUAGCCUAUGUAUUCACACUCAAACAAUGCAGGUUCAUUUGCAGCUACACCAAGGACUGGAAAUUCAAGUUACAAGUAUUUUUAUCUUAUAACAAACUGCUACUUUUGUUUUGUAUAUGGAGAAGUAUAGGCCAUAUGUCCCCUUCUCCCUACUCUUUGUACUCUUUUUAUCAGAAAUAGUAUUAAUGAGAAUUUUCUUUUGGUUACCA